rnacentral:rRNA from 1 species
CCUACGGGAGGCAGCAGUGAGGAAUAUUGGUCAAUGGCCGGAAGGCUGAACCAGCCAUGCCGCGUGAAGGUCAGUGCCCUAUGGGCGUUAAACUUCUUUUGUGCGGGAGCAAUAAUGGUCACGUGUGGCCAGACGAGAGUACCGUACGAAUAAGCAUCGGCUAACUUCGUGCCAGCAGCCGCGGUAAUACGGGGGAUGCAAGCGUUAUCCGGAUUUAUUGGGUUUAAAGGGUGCGUAGGCUGUGAGGUAAGUCAGCGGUGAAAUGCCACCGCUCAACGGGGUGAAGUGCCAUUGAUACUGCCUGGCUGGAAUGCGGAUGCCGUGGGAGGAAUGUGUGGUGUAGCGGUGAAAUGCAUAGAUAUCACACAGAACACCGAUUGCGAAGGCAUCUCACGAAUCCGCGAUUGACGCUGAUGCACGAAAGCGUGGGUAUCAAACAGGAUUAGAUACCCUUGUAGUC